rnacentral:tRNA from 1 species
GGCCUUAUAUUCAAUUAUGAUUUUAGACUGCAAUUCUAGAGGUGUAAAUAUUAGUUACUAAGGCCU